CCUACGGGCGGCUGCAGUGGGGAAUAUUGGACAAUGGGCGAAAGCCUGAUCCAGUCAUGCCGCGUGUGUGAAGAAGGCCUUCGGGUUGUAAAGCACUUUCAGUGGGGAAGAAAGCCUUGGGGCUAAUACCCUCGAGGAAGGACAUCACCCACAGAAGAAGCACCGGCUAACUCCGUGCCAGCAGCCGCGGUAAUACGGAGGGUGCGCGCGUUAAUCGGAAUUACUGGGCGUAAAGCGCGCGUAGGCGGUCUGAUAAGCCGGUUGUGAAAGCCCCGGGCUCAACCUGGGAACGGCAUCCGGAACUGUCAGGCUAGAGUGCAGGAGAGGAAGGUAGAAUUCCCGGUGUAGCGGUGAAAUGCGUAGAGAUCGGGAGGAAUACCAGUGGCGAAGGCGGCCUUCUGGACUGACACUGACGCUGAGGUGCGAAAGCGUGGGUAGCAAACAGGAUUAGAUACCCCAGUAGU
rnacentral:rRNA from 1 species